GCAAGAGAUCAGGGAAGCUCCCAGAGCGACAGCUGGAGCCCAGGCCUCCGCGUCUUUGCCCCUUUCCAGUGGCCCCAACACCUAGGGCCCCGGCCCAGAGGAAGGAGCUGCCCACGGAGAGGCUGGUAAAUGAAGGAACACAGAAGUCCCUGCCCGCAUCUCAUCGCCUCCAGAGCUGCUGGGGAAAUGAAGGGCUCUCCUUACCUGCCGCCCUUAUACCUAAGAGCCCCUUGCCCGGCACGGGGAACGCUGGUCCAGUUCCCAGGUCCCCGGAGGGCACCGCCGCGGCCCGGCGCCUCCCCCGCUCCCCGCAAGCCCCCGGAGAACUCACACCACCAGGGAGGAGAUUUGGAGCUGCCACCCUGUCCCAGUCAUGACUAAGGAUUUUAGAAGCUGAUGUCAUCCUGAGGGGGAGGCUUGGGAAUUGUCACCAGACCUCCUUCCACUGUCCUACCAGCCUCUUCCUCUGACAUGGAUCUCCAGCACUCAAGGGAGACGCAGGCUCAAUGGAGCGACACCACAUCCGUGAAGAUUCCCGUCCACCUGAGCCCACGUGGAGGCCUUUCAAGGCCUCCUGAUCUGGCCUGAAGAGCUCAAGGCUGGAAAACAUCACCCCCCGCAGGGCCCCCCAUCCUUGCAUAAGAAUUGUGCUACCCUAGGUCUCUCCACUCCCCGAAGGGAGUUCCAGGCUUUUGUGGCGUGGCCUGUGUGUUCUCCUGACAGACCCCAGAGGCCACGGUGUCAUUUUGCAGGUUGGAAAACUGAGGCCCAGGUUAUAGGGCCCAGCCUACCACUAGCCCCAGUCCAGGGCACUCGCCCCUGUUCACGCUUCCUCAAACCUUUACUGAGUACCUACUGUGUGCUGCUGCAGAGGCUGAAAUGCAAGGCUCCCUGCCUCCUCGGCUCAUGUAAGUGUGGCUCUAGCUUUAGAGAGGGGUCUCGGCCCCCGCCUGAGCCACCCCAUGACUCAGCCAAGACCAGGCUGCAGUUUCUGACACAACUAUCCUAAAGUUUUAGGGACCACAUGAGGGAGGACUGGAGGGGAAAGGGCCAUGCUUGGGGCCAGGCCAGACCCCUCCUGUGGGCUCCCUCAUGCACAGCUUCGUACGACUGCUAGGUCCAGACCCAUCCGGGGGUCAUAUCAGGCUGCUGGGUUACAGUGAGCAUAUCCAGAGAGCGAGCAAGAAUGAAAGCAAAAAUACCAGC
rnacentral:lncRNA from 1 species